CUGUGGUUCCAGCCAUCCCUCCAGCAAGCAGGUGGCAGAGGGCACAGGGUUGGCCUGGGGUCUUCCAGCCGCUGAGGCCUCUCCAGCCGGUGGGGCAAUGGCAGCCACAGCUAAUGCAGCCUUGAAGACGGUCACUUGCUUGGUGAGCACCGUUACUUAGAAGAUAGGGCUCCAGAGGAGCUGCUCAAUCCUGAGCCAGUCUGGGGUCAAGCGGGGUCUGCUGCCCC
rnacentral:lncRNA from 1 species